GCCUCGGCCUCCCAAAGUGCUGGGAUUACAGGCCUGAGUCACUGUUCCCAGCCAGGGACCUGUGAUUUCUACAACUGGCUGAAAGCUGCAUCCAGUCUGCCCUGUGAGCCAGGGAAACUGAGGCACUUUGGGAGAACAUCAGAUCCUCAAAACACAUCCAAGUCCAGAAACUGGGGCUUCCAUUUAGGAAGAUGAGCAGCGACCUUCCAGAAGAUGGAAGUGGUUACUGGGCAGUGACUUUCCAAAAGAUGCCCCUUUGGUGUGUAACAAUUAUCUGCCCCCGAAUGGUCAAGCCCACCAGGUGCCUUGAAUUUACUAAGACCAGCACUUAGAGUGUAAUGUGGAAACUAGAAAGGCCUGGUCCCUCGAUCUUCCUCUCUGGUGGAACUUUUGGUCUUUGGAGAAAAAA
rnacentral:lncRNA from 1 species